AGUCGAGGGGCAGCAUUUCAGUUUGCUUGCAAACUGGAGAUGGCGACCGGCGCACGGGUGAGUAACACGUAUCCAACCUGCCGAUAACUCGGGGAUAGCCUUUCGAAAGAAAGAUUAAUACCCGAUGGUAUAAUNANACCGCAUGGUCUUGUUAUUAAAGAAUUUCGGUUAUCGAUGGGGAUGCGUUCCAUUAGGCAGUUGGUGAGGUAACGGCUCACCAAACCUUCGAUGGAUAGGGGUUCUGAGAGGAAGGUCCCCCACAUUGGAACUGAGACACGGUCCAAACNNNNNNGGGAGGCAGCAGUGAGGAAUAUUGGUCAAUGGGCGCAGGCCUGAACCAGCCAAGUAGCGUGAAGGAUGACUGCCCUAUGGGUUGUAAACUUCUUUUAUAUGGGAAUAAAGUUUUCCACGUGUGGAAUUUUGUAUGUACCAUAUGAAUAAGGAUCGGCUAACUCCGUGCCAGCAGCCGCGGUAAUACGGAGGAUCCGAGCGUUAUCCGGAUUUAUUGGGUUUAAAGGGAGCGUAGGUGGACAGUUAAGUCAGUUGUGAAAGUUUGCGGCUCAACCGUAAAAUUGCAGUUGAUACUGGCUGUCUUGAGUACAGUAGAGGUGGGCGGAAUUCGUGGUGUAGCGGUGAAAUGCUUAGAUAUCACGAAGAACUCCGAUUGCGAAGGCAGCUCACUGGACUGCAACUGACACUGAUGCUCGAAAGUGUGGGUAUCAAACAGGAUUAGAUACCCUGGUAGUCCACACAGUAAACGAUGAAUACUCGCUGUUUGCGAUAUACAGUAAGCGGCCAAGCGAAAGCAUUAAGUAUUCCACCUGGGGAGUACGCCGGCAACGGUGAAACUCAAAGGAAUUGACGGGGGCCCGCACAAGCGGAGGAACAUGUGGUUUAAUUCGAUGAUACGCGAGGAACCUUACCCGGGCUUAAAUUGCAUUUGAAUAUAUUGGAAACAGUAUAGCCGUAAGGCAAAUGUGAAGGUGCUGCAUGGUUGUCGUCAGCUCGUGCCGUGAGGUGUCGGCUUAAGUGCCAUAACGAGCGCAACCCUUAUCUUUAGUUACUAACAGGUCAUGCUGAGGACUCUAGAGAGACUGCCGUCGUAAGAUGUGAGGAAGGUGGGGAUGACGUCAAAUCAGCACGGCCCUUACGUCCGGGGCUACACACGUGUUACAAUGGGGGGUACAGAAGGCAGCUACCUGGUGACAGGAUGCUAAUCCCAAAAGCCUCUCUCAGUUCGGAUCGAAGUCUGCAACCCGACUUCGUGAAGCUGGAUUCGCUAGUAAUCGCGCAUCAGCCAUGGCGCGGUGAAUACGUUCCCGGGCCUUGUACACACCGCCCGUCAAGCCAUGAAAGCCGGGGGUACCUGAAGUACGUAACCGCAAGGAG
rnacentral:rRNA from 2 species